rnacentral:lncRNA from 15 species
CAAUCAUUGUGUCUUCCUGUAAAAGUAAAUGUGACGUGUGCUUACGUCAGCAUGAACUAACUGAUUUCAACCAAUAAUAUCCUGACAUUCACCCGUCAAUCAAUCUGCAACUGUUAGUGACACAGAGCUCACUGAUUACUGUACAGACACACAACUUUAUUAACACUGUACAGACACACAACUUUAUUAACACUGUACAGACACACAACUUUAUUAUCACUGUACAAACACAACUUUAUUAACACUGUACAGACACACAACUUUAUUAUCACUGUACAAACACACAACUUUAUUAUCACUGUACAGACACACAACUUUAUCAGUGAUCAAUGUUAUCUGGUUUUCUCUCUGACGUCCUCCGGCUUGAACACAACCUCAGAGAUGGACAGAGGACAGUUUAACGACAGCGGUACCGAGGUGAUUUAUGUUCUUUCCAGAUGGACUUGUUGCAACAUUAGCAAACCUCCUCAGUCCUUUAUUCCCUGCAGUCAAACUGUCCUCCGUCAGCAUCAGACACUGCAUUCAGUCCCGGUCUGGACCUGCUGUUCACUGGGAGCUCCUAGUCCGACAGAGUCAGCUAAUGGAUCCACAACAGCUGCUGGACUGGCGGGACGUAGCACACAGCACUAUUAGCUACUCUAUCCAUAUCAUUACCUCCUCUUCAUCAUCAUCAUCAUCUUCACAUCUUCCUCCUGUACUGAAGGCUGCAUCAUGAAUCUGUGCUGAUGCAGGUUGUGAGAUAUUAUGCUCAUCAAUCCCACAGUGAGUCUGUGCAACUGGCAAACACAGAAACACUGCAGCAGGAGACCCACCGUACAGACUGCAGACUCACAGUACAGACUGCAGACUCACCGUACAGACUGCAGACUCACGGUACAGACUGCAGACUCACCGUACAGACUGCAGACUCACCGUACAGACUGCAGACUCACCGUACAGACUGCAGGCCCCACUGUACAGACUGCAGAGUCACAGUACAGACUGCAGACUCUCCGUACAGACUGCAGACUCACAGUACAGACUGCAGACUCACCGUACAGACUGCAGACUCAAGGUACAGACUGCAGACUCACAGUACAGACUGCAGACUCACAGUACAGACUGCAGACUCACCGUACAGACUGCAGACUCACGGUACAGACUGCAGACUCACCGUACAGACUGCAGACUCACCGUACAGACUGCAGGCCCCACUGUACAGACUGCAGACUCACAGUACAGACUGCAGACUCACCGUACAGACUGCAGACUCACAGUACAGACUGCAGACUCACCGUACAGACUGCAGACUCACCGUACAGACUGCAGACUCACUUUACAGACUGCAGACUCAAGGUACAGACUGCAGACCCACCGUACAGACUGCAGACUCACCGUACAGACUGCAGACCCACCGUACAGACUGCAGACUCACCGUACAGACUGCAGGCCCCACUGUACAGACUGCAGACUCACAGUACAGACUGCAGACUCACCGUACAGACUGCAGACUCACAGUACAGACUGCAGACUCACCGUACAGACUGCAGACUCACCGUACAGACUGCAGACUCACAGUACAGACUGCAGACUCACCGUACAGACUGCA